rnacentral:rRNA from 1 species
UGGCUUUCUGAUACCAGAGGUAAUGAUUAAUAGGGACAACUGGGGGCAUUCGUAUUGCGACGUUAGAGGUGAAAUUCUUGGAUCGUCGCAAGACGGACUAAAGCGAAAGCAUUUGCCAAAGGUGUUUUCAUUAAUCAAGAACGAAAGUUAGAGGUUCGAAGGCGAUUAGAUACCGCUGUAGUUCUAACCAUAAAUGAUGCCAGCCAGCGAUCCGCCGAAGUUUCAUAAUUUUAACUCGGUGGGCAGCUCCCGGGAAACCAAAGCUUUCGGGCUCCGGGGGGAGUAUGGUUGCAAAGCUGAA